rnacentral:rRNA from 1 species
AUUACCCGCUGAACUUAAGCAUAUCAAUAAGCGGAGGAAAAGAAACCAACAGGGAUUGCCCCAGUAACGGCGAGUGAAGCGGCAACAGCUCAAAUUUGAAAUCUGGCGCAAGCCCGAGUUGUAAUUUGCAGAGGAUGUUUCUGGCGACGCGCCUUCCGAGUUCCCUGGAACGGGACGCCAUAGAGGGUGAGAGCCCCGUACGGUUGGAUGCCUAGCCUCUGUGAAACUCCUUCGACGAGUCGAGUAGUUUGGGAAUGCUGCUCUAAAUGGGAGGUAUACGUCUUCUAAAGCUAAAUACCGGCCAGAGACCGAUAGCGCACAAGUAGAGUGAUCGAAAGAUGAAAAGCACUUUGAAAAGAGGGUUAAAAAGUACGUGAAAUUGUUGAAAGGGAAGCGUUCAUGACCAGACUUGGGCAGGUUGAUCAUCCGUGGUUCUCCGCGGUGCACUCUGCCUGCCCAGGCCAGCAUCAGUUCGCUCCGGGGGAUAAAGGCUUUGGGAAUGUGGCUCCCUCGGGAGUGUUAUAGACCACUGCGUAAUACCCUGGGGUGGACUGAGGUUCGCGCUCUGCAAGGAUGCUGGCGUAAUGGUCAUCAACGACCCGUCUUGAAACACGGACCAAGGAGUCGUCUUCGUAUGCGAGUGUUCGGGUGUCAAACCCCUACGCGUAAUGAAAGUGAACGUAGGAGAGAGCUUCGGCGCAUCUCCGACCGAUCCUGAUGUUCUCGGAUGGAUUUGAGUAAGAGCAUACGGGGCCGGACCCGAAAGAAGGUGAACUAUGCCUGUAUAGGGUGAAGCCAGAGGAAACUCUGGUGGAGGCUCGCAGCGGUUCUGACGUGCAAAUCGAUCGUCAAAUAUGGGCAUGGGGGCGAAAGACUAAUCGAACCCUUCUU